rnacentral:misc_RNA from 1 species
AAGACUCCUGCUUUUGGUUAAGGUGCUUUGUUGUCUGUCACAGCCACCACAUAUUGCUACUAAUUAGUUGGUAGCUGUACCAUUUUGUUAACUUUCUGGGCAAUGAACCAUAUGCAUCGCAUUUGUGGGACUUGCUUCAGUUUGGUGGUUGUUACAACUUCCUUCUCAAGUUAGCCUAGGUUAAUAUUCCUUGUUAGUUGAAAGCGUACGAUUAAAAGUCUUGGCUCUACUCUGGCAGUCAUUCUCAGGUGAUUGGAGUCGAGUCAAGACUUAAAGCUUGAGGUUUGGCGGUUCUAAUGAGCAAACUUUUUUUGAAAGCUUUGACAAGCUUGUUCUAGCUCAAGCCUCUUAGCAUCCAAAUGAAUUUCAGCUACUCAAGCAAUUUGUAAAAGGAGUCAAGGUCAUGGGUUUUGACAUUUCUAUUUGGACAGUUAGGCCGGCGAAGGUGGCCUGGCGCCUGGGUGGAUAUCAUAUUCAUAUGCAUCCAACAGAUUUUUCCCACCUUGGAUCCCUUCUUUGCUGCCAAUUGGAGUCGCUGGACGACAUAAAUUACUGUUAUGUCAUGGCAAUAAUGAAGUUGCAUGCUCCUUAGCAUAUGCGUUCAAAAAGUAUGCUUUUUCUGUUAAAUACACAUGGAAAGACAUUAUUACACUUCAU